ensembl:lncRNA
GCAUGAUUUCACCAAGUACAACAUGUUCCUGGAUCAACAUCCAAUUGGGUUUAGUCUAUAUUUUUGGACAGUAAUGUUGAUCCAAGAUCAACAAAAGAGGUUGAUCCAGGAACAUGACUUACUUGGCAAAAUCAUGGCCACCGUAAGAUGUUCUGUAGGUUCUUUGUAAUAAAUGUAACACCAGUGUACUCUUCAUGGUUGUUGCAUAACUUUUUUUAACACUCACUUUGCAUGCAUGUAAAUACAGGUGAUGAUUUCCUUUUUUAAAUAAUUGUGCAACAAAACACUGUCUAGACUAAACAACUUCAAUAUGAUAAUGCAUGUAUUGUGUUUGUUUAAAAUGGUGUGGAUGAAUGAGAAUGAAGCUACCCAAAGGGAAGAAAAAAGAGAUCUCUGAAAGUGUCGCGAAAGAAAGAAGCGUAUAUCAUUUUGCAGAAAAUGUAUUAAUUCUUUUUAAUUAAAAAAAUGACCAUUAUUUUAUGUAUUAAAUAGAUAAACUUAUUUUUCAGAUUCACGUGCCUUCAUAAACAGUGUUGAUGUGACUGGUACUGUGCAUGAAGAACUAACUCUCACUUGCAGCAUCUCACUGAACUGCACUAAAGAAGCUGAUCAGUGCUGCAUUAUAUCGUACAUGUUUAAGGAUGAAAACACCACAGUAAUCUACAAAAAGGAGUUUCCUAACAAGACCUGUGAACGAAAGAUCAAAGCCACAUGUGUUUACAAAUCAAGUAAAAACAUCACAGCAAAAUUUAUGUUAUUUUUCCAAACAACUUGUGGGAUAAAGGACACAGAAUUCAUCGUUAACGUAACAGAGUCUGGAGAUAAACCCACCAAUACAGAUACUGUUAAGAAAGGUGAAGCAAAGCUGACAACAUCUGAGGUCACUGUCAUUGUGUUCGCCAUAAUUGUCUUCAUCAUCAUAAUGUUAAUCAUUUAUAGGAAAUACAAUCCCACAAUCCCUUGUCGACUCCAGAGAGACUAUAAAACAGCUGAUUCUGCCACAAAAGAUGAUGACAACGGUGAAUAGUCAGAAUGAGCUUCUCAACCGCACAGCAGGACUGUGUAGCAGUUGUGUUUCACAUCCAGUGCAGGUCAUGAGCCUUUAAACAUGUUUAUAAAAGUGUGUACAGAGGAAUCAUAACUGUCUGUGUUAUUUGGCAUACUCAGUGCACUCUUAUCCUAAGCUGUAUGUUCUGUUUUAUAUUGAUUUCUGUGAAAUAACAGAAUGCUAUCGAUCUGUUUGAUCAGAUUACUGAAUACAGUAAUUAUGUUGAAUGAUCUCAAGUCUGUACACCACCUGUCACUGGGGCGGUACCUUUUCAAAAGGUACACCUUUGUACCUUAUUUACCAUAUUAGUACCUUAAAGUUGCAUAUUAAUACCUAAAGUGUACAUAUUAGUACCUUUUGAAAGGAUACUGCACCAGUGACAACUUUUGUAAUGUUUCCCUGAGUGUAUAAACAAGCUCUUAUAUUGACAGACCUCAGGAAUUUUCUUGAUUUGUUGUGUGAAAAAAAAACAAUAG